rnacentral:rRNA from 1 species
GUUUGCCUACGGGACGCAGCAGUGAGGAAUAUUGGUCAAUGGGCGCGAGCCUGAACCAGCCACGUAGCGUGAAGGAUGACUGCCCUACGGGUUGUAAACUUCUUUUAUAAAGGAAUAAAGUGAGGCACGUGUGCCUUUUUGUAUGUACUUUAUGAAUAAGGAUCGGCUAACUCCGUGCCGGCAGCCGCGGUAAUACGGAGGAUCCGAGCGUUAUCCGGAUUUAUUGGGUUUAAAGGGAGCGUAGGUGGAUUGUUAAGUCAGUUGUGAAAGUUUGCGGCUCAACCGUAAAAUUGCAGUUGAAACUG